CGCUCGCUGACCCGCGCGGGGCUUGGAAUGAGAGGCUCGGCGAAGUGAGCGCCCUGCCCAUCCACCUCGUCCGCUUCCCCCCGUGACGCUCUCACGCUUAGCUGUUCAUGUUACCAUUCUUCUCCGGCCAAGGAACGAGCCCUGAGACGCCUCCACAGCACCUGAGGGGCAGUACCGUCAAUCUCCCGCGCACGUACGGGGCACGGAGGGCGGCGACACCGAAGUCCGUGCCCGGCUCGGCAAGUGGCUGAGGACGCCCGGAGGACGAGCGGAAGCAUUUUUGGACAAAUUGGGGACUAAGAACAUCUGGAAGCAGAAAAAUUGGAGAUAAGAACAAAAGAAGAGGGAAAAGAAAAAAUGGAAGUUGAAAGAGAUACUUUGAAAAACCUGUGUCCUGCUACAUGAUAAUCUUGACUUAUAGGAAAUUCCAUUUCUAGAACAAAGAAGGAAUGGAAUCUUUGAUGGUGGCGACCUCCUCACAAACAUCUCCUCUAUGCCUCUUCAGAAGAUGAAAAAGGGAAACACAAAGCUCAGCUCCUACUUACUGGAUGUGAAGUGCCGGGAUGCUCUAAAAUUACCUUUGCCUUACUCCUGCACAGUCAGCUGUGUGUAUGUGUUCACUGCUCCCCUGUCCUCGCCAGACUGCAGGAGAAAAAGCACCGUUGACAGAAGCACCUGUAUCACGAUGAGUGGGCAACCACACCGACAAACAUAUUUGGUAUAAAAAAGGAAGGAAUGGAAAAGACAAGAAAAUAUAUUGCACAACCUCGCAUUUUUCUUUCUUGUCCUCCAUCUGAUCUUCAGAGAAUCACUUCCACUCUUAUUUUGGGAAAUACGUCCAUCCAGUUGUCACUGACCUCUGUACAGGGACAUUAGGCCACAGUUAAAUGAUCCAUAUGUGGACACUCUUCGUGUUCUCCAAUCAGACAGGAACAUUUAGGGAACAAGACGUAACUAUGUCUAUUUACUGCCAAAUUCAGAUUUGUGGACUGGAGGCAAAUACAUCUGAUGAGCUACGUGAGAGUAAAUUGGAAGAAAGGAGAGUAAGAAAAAAUAAUUUUGAUAACAGUUGAUUCCCUGAUUUCAAUUCUUCCAGAGACAU